rnacentral:rRNA from 1 species
GACGAACGCUGGCGGCGUGCUUAACACAUGCAAGUCGAACGGAAAGGCCCUGCUUUUGUGGGGUGCUCGAGUGGCGAACGGGUGAGUAACACGUGAGUAACCUGCCCUUGACUUUGGGAUAACUUCAGGAAACUGGGGCUCAUACCGGAUAGGAGCUCCUGCUGCAUGGUGGGGGUUGGAAAGUUUCGGCGGUUGGGGAUGGACUCGCGGCUUAUCAGCUUGUUGGUGGGGUAGUGGCUUACCCAGGCUUUGACGGGUAGCCGGCCUGAGAGGGUGACCGGCCACAUUGGGACUGAGAGACGGCGCAGACUCCUACGGGAGGCAGCAGUGGGGAAUAUUGCACAAUGGGCGGAAGCCUGAUGCAGCAACGCCGCGUGCGGGAUAACGGCCUUCGGGUUGUAAACCGCUUUCGCCUGUGACGAAGCGUGAGUGACGGUAAUGGGUAAAGAAGCACCGGCUAACUACGUG